rnacentral:tRNA from 1 species
GGAGGGGUGGCCGAGUGGCUGAAGGCGCACGCUUGGAAAGCGUGUAACCGGGAAACUGGUUCGCGGGUUCGAAUCCCGCCCCCUCCGCCA